rnacentral:rRNA from 2 species
CCACUUGUUGCCUCGGCGGAUCAGCCCGCUCCCGGUAAAACGGGACGGCCCGCCAGAGGACCCCUAAACUCUGUUUCUAUAUGUAACUUCUGAGUAAAACCAUAAAUAAAUCAAAACUUUCAACAACGGAUCUCUUGGUUCUGGCAUCGAUGAAGAACGCAGCAAAAUGCGAUAAGUAAUGUGAAUUGCAGAAUUCAGUGAAUCAUCGAAUCUUUGAACGCACAUUGCGCCCGCCAGUAUUCUGGCGGGCAUGCCUGUUCGAGCGUCAUUUCAACCCUCAAGCACAGCUUGGUGUUGGGACUCGCGUUAAUUCGCGUUCCUCAAAUUGAUUGGCGGUCACGUCGAGCUUCCAUAGCGUAGUAGUAAAACCCUCGUUACUGGUAAUCGUCGCGGCCACGCCGUUAAACCCCAACUUCUGAAUGUUGACCUCGGAUCAGGUAGGAAUACCCGCUGAACUUAAGCAUAUCA